rnacentral:rRNA from 1 species
GACGAACGCUGGCGGCGUGCUUAACACAUGCAAGUCGAACGGAAAGGCCCUGCCUAUGUGGGGUGCUCGGGUGGCGAACGGGUGAGUAACACGUGGGUUACCUGCCCUUGACUUUGGGAUAACUUCAGGAAACUGGGGCUAAUACCGGAUAGGAGCUCCUGCUGAAUGGUGGGGGUUGGAUAGUUUCGGCGGUUGGGGAUGGACUCGCGGCUUAUCCGCUUGUUGGUGGGGUAGUGGCUUACCAAGGCUUUGCCGGGUGGCAGGCCUGAGCGGGUGACCUGCCACAUUGGGACUGAGAUGCGGCCCAGACCCGAACGGUAGGCAGCGGUGCGGAAGAUUGCACUAUGGGCGGAAGCCUGAUGUAGCAACGCCGCGUGCGGGAUGACGUCCAUCGGUUUGUGAUCCGCAUCCGCCUGUGACGAGGCGUGAGUGACGGUAAUGGGUAAAGAAGCACCGGCUAACUACGUG